rnacentral:rRNA from 1 species
CAGUAGCCGCGGGAAUACGAAGGGUGCAAGCGUUACUCGGAAUUACUGGGCGUAAAGCGUGCGUAGGUGGUGGUUUAAGUCCGUUGUGAAAGCCCUGGGCUCAACCUGGGAAUUGCAGUGGAUACUGGGUCACUAGAGUGUGGUAGAGGAUAGUGGAAUUUCCGGUGUAGCAGUGAAAUGCGUAGAGAUCGGAAGGAACAUCUGUGGCGAAGGCGACUAUCUGGGCCAACACUGACACUGAGGCUCGAAAGCGUGGGGAGCAAACAGGAUUAGAGACCCCGGUAGUCCCUGUCUCUUAUAC